rnacentral:rRNA from 1 species
AACGAACGCUGGCGGCAGGCCUAACACAUGCAAGUCGAGCGGACCCUUCGGGGUUAGCGGCGGACGGGUGAGUAACGCGUGGGAACGUGCCCUUUGCUUCGGAAUAGCCCUGGGAAACUGGGAGUAAUACCGGAUACGCCCUUUUGGGGAAAGAUUUAUCGGCGAAGGAUCGGCCCGCGUUGGAUUAGGUAGUUGGUGGGGUAAUGGCCUACCAAGCCGACGAUCCAUAGCUGGUUUGAGAGGAUGAUCAGCCACACUGGGACUGAGACACGGCCCAGACUCCUACGGGAGGCAGCAGUGGGGAAUCGUAGACAAUGGGGGAAACCCUGAUCUAGCCAUGCCGCGUGAGCGAUGAAGGCCUUAGGGUUGUAAAGCUCUUUCACCGGGGAAGAUAAUGACGGUACCCGGAGAAGAAGCCCCGGCUAACUCCGUG